rfam:Picea glauca, whole genome shotgun sequence.
GCAUGCCUACAUCAUAGCGUUAAUGCACCAGAUACCAUUAGAGCUCUGCAAUUAAGUGUGCUCAGGAUAGGGUAGUACUGGGAUGGGUGACCGCCCAGGAAGUCGUAGUAUUUUACAUGCC